AAAAUAUAUAGAAUAAGCCCUCAUAUAUGUUCGGGAAUAUGGCCCGAAUGUCUCUACCGGACAACCGUAAAUUGUCUGACUAUGAGUGGAAUUAUGCAGGAU
rnacentral:ncRNA from 1 species